CGCUGGCGGCGUGCCUAACACAUGUAAGUCGAACGGGACCAGGGGCAACUCUGGUUCAGUGGCGGACGGGUGCGUAACACGUGAGGAACAUGACCUUCGGCGGGGGAUAGCCGGCCCAACGGCCGGGUAAUACCGCGUACGACCAUUUGGGGACAUCCCUGGGUGGUGAAAGCAGCAAUGCGCCGAUGGAGUGCCUCGCGGCCUAUCAGCUAGUUGGUGAGGUAACGGCUCACCAAGGCGACGACGGGUAGCUGGUCUGAGAGGAUGGCCAGCCACAUUGGGACUGAGACACGGCCCAGACUCCUACGGGAGGCAGCAGUGGGGAAUAUUGCGCAAUGGACGAAAGUCUGACGCAGCGACGCCGCGUGUGGGAUGACGGUCUUCGGAUUGUAAACCACUGUCGGGAGGGACGAAUACGCCGCAAGGCGGGUGACGGUACCUCCAAAGGAAGCACCGGCUAACUCCGUGCCAGCAGCCGCGGUAAUACGGAGGGUGCGAGCGUUGUCCGGAAUCACUGGGCGUAAAGGGCGCGUAGGCGGCCUGAUAAGUAGGGGGUGAAAUCCUGCGGCUUAACCGCAGGGCUGCCUUCUAAACUGUCAGGCUCGAGCACAGUAGAGGCAGGUGGAAUUCCCGGUGUAGCGGUGGAAUGCGUAGAGAUCGGGAAGAACAUCAGUGGCGAAGGCGGUCUGCUGGGCUGUUACUGACGCUGAGACUCGAAAGCGU
rnacentral:rRNA from 1 species